AUUGAACGCUGGCGGAAUGCUUUACACAUGCAAGUCGAACGGCAGCACGGACUUCGGUCUGGUGGCGAGUGGCGAACGGGUGAGAAAUGUAUCGGAACGUGCCCAGUCGUGGGGGAUAACGUAGUGAAAAUUACGCUAAUACCGCAUACGAUCUAUGGAUGAAAGCGGGGGAUCGCAAGACCUCGCGCGAUUGGAGCGGCCGAUAUCAGAUUAGGUAGUUGGUGGGGUAAAGGCUCACCAAGCCAACGACCUGUAGCUGGUCUGAGAGGACGACCAGCCACACUGGAACUGAGACACGGUCCAGACUCCUACGGGAGGCAGCAGUGGGGAAUUUUGGACAAUGGACGCAAGUCUGAUCCAGCCAUUCCGCGUGCAGGAUGAAGGCCCUCGGGUUGUAAACUGCUUUUGUACGGAACGAAAAGGUCUCUCUUAAUACGGGGGACUCAUGACGGUACCGUAAGAAUAAGCACCGGCUAACUACGUGCCAGCCGCCGCGGUAA
rnacentral:rRNA from 1 species